GACUACAGAUAGCUGUGUUAGUACCAGUCCUACUGGACCCCAGGAUAGGUACUGGACCCCAGGAUAGAGACUGGACCCCAGGAUAGAGACUGGACCCCAGGAUAGAGACUGGACCCCAGGAUAGAGACUGGACCCCAGGAUAGAGACUGGACCCCAGGAUAGAGACUGGACCCCAGGAUAGAGACUGGACCCCAGGAUAGAGACUGGACCCCAGGAUAGAGACUGGACCCCAGGAUAGGUACUGGACCCCAGGAUAGGUACUGGACCCCAGGAUAGGUACUGGACCCCAGGAUAGGUACUGGACUACAGAUAGCUGUGUUAUUACCAGUCCUACUGGACCCCAGGACAGAGACUGGACCCCAGGAUAGAUACUGGACUACAGAUAGCUGUGUUAUUACCAGUCCUACUGGACCCCAGGACAGAGACUGGACCCCAGGACAGAGACUGGACCCCAGGACAGAGACUGGACCCCAGGACAGAGACUGGACCCCAGGACAGAGACUGGACCCCAGGACAGAGACUGGACUACAGAUAGUUGUGUUAGUACCAGUCCUACUGGACCCCAGGAUAGGUACUGGACCCCAGGGUAGGUACUGGACCCCAGGAUAGAGACUGGACCCCAGGAUAGAGACUGGACCCCAGGGUAGGUACUGGACUACAGAUAGUUGUGUUAGUACCAGUCCUACUGGACCCCAGGGUAUGUACUGGACCCCGGGGUAGGUACUGGACCCCAGGAUAGGUACUGGACCCCAGGAUAGGUACUGGACCCCAGGGUAGGUACUGGACCCCAGUGUAGAUACUGGGCCCCAGGGUAGAUACUGGGCCCCAGGGUAGAUACUGGACCCCAGGAUAGGUACUGGACCCCAGGGUAGAUACUGGACCCCAGGAUAGGUACUGGACCCCAGGGAUAGGUACUGGACCCCAGGAUAGGUACUGGACCCCAGGAUAGGUACUGGACCCCAUACUGGACCCCAGGGUAGAGACUGGACCCCAGGACAGAGACUGGACCCCAGGACAGAGACUGGACCCCAGGACAGAGACUGGACCCCAGGACAGAGACUGGACCCCAGGACAGAGACUGGACCCCAGGACAGAGACUGGACCCCAGGGACAGAGACUGGACCCCAGGACAGAGACUGGACCCCAGGAUAGGUACUGGACUACAGAUAGUUGUGUUAGUACCAGUCCUACUGGACCCCAGGAUAGGUACUGGACCCCAGGGUAGUACUGGACCCCAGGAUAGAGACUGGACCCCAGGGUAGGUACUGGACCCCAGAUAGUUGUGUUAGUACCAGUCCUACUGGACCCCAGGGUAGGUACUGGACCCCAGAGUAGGUACUGGACCCCAGGAUAGGUACUGGACCCCAGGGUAGGUACUGGACCCCAGGAUAGGUACUGGACCCCAGGAUAGGUACUGGACCCCAGGAUAGGUACUGGACCCCAGGAUAGGUACUGGACCCCAGGAUAGAGACUGGACCCCAGGAUAGAGACUGGACCCCAGGGUAGAGACUGGACCCCAGGGUAGAGACUGGACCCCAGGAUAGAGACUGGACCCCAGGAUAGAGACUGGACCCCAGGGUAGAGACUGGACCCCAGGGUAGAUACUGGACUACAGAUAGCUGUGUUAGUACCAGUCCUACUGGACCCCAAGAUCGAUACUGGACCCCAGGGUAGAUACUGGACCCCAGGGUAGGUACUGGACCCCAGGGUAGGUACUGGACCCCAGGGUAGGUACUGGACCCCAGGAUAGAUACUGGACCCCAGCUAUGCAGUUAGUCAGGUCUAUAGAUCCACAGCUAUGCAGUUAGUCAGGUCUAUAGAUCCACAGCUAUGCAGUUAGUCAGGUCUAUAGAUCCACAGCUAUGCAGUUAGUCAGGUCUAUAGAUCCACAGCUAUGCAGUUAGUCAGGUCUAUAGAUCCACAGCUAUGCAGUUAGUCAGGUCUAUAGAUCCACAGCUAUGCAGUUAGUCAGGUCUAUAGAUCCACAGCUAUGCAGUUAGUCAGGUCUAUAGAUCCACAGCUAUGCAGUUAGUCAGGUCUAUAGAUCCACAGCUAUGCAGUUAGUCAGGUCUAUAGAUCCACAGCUAUGCAGUUAGUCAGGUCUAUAGAUCCACAGCUAUGCAGUAAGUCACUGUUAUCUCUCUGUCUCUCUCUCUGUC